GAUGAACGCUGGCGGCGUGCCUAAUACAUGCAAGUCGAGCGAACAGACGAGGAGCUUGCUCCUCUGAUGUUAGCGGCGGACGUGUGAGUAACACGUGGAUAACCUACCUAUAAGACUGGGAUAACUUCGGGAAACCGGAGCUAAUACCGGAUAACAUGUUGAACCGCAUGGUUCAACAGUGAAAGACGGUCUUGCUGUCACUUAUAGAUGGAUCCGCGCCGCAUUAGCUAGUUGGUAAGGUAACGGCUUACCAAGGCAACGAUGCGUAGCCGACCUGAGAGGGUGAUAGGCCACACUGGAACGGAGACACGGUCCAGACUCCUACGGGAGGAAGCAGUAGGGAAUCGUCCGCAAUGGGCGAAAGCCUGACGGAGCAACGCCGCGUGAGUGAAGAAGGUCUUCGGAUCGUAAAACUCUGUUAUUAGGGAAGAACAAAUGUGUAAGUAAAUAUGCACGUCUUGACGGUACCUAAUCAGAAAGCAACGGCUAACUACGUG
rnacentral:rRNA from 1 species